UACAGAGGGUGCAAGCGUUAAUCGGAAUUACUGGGCGUAAAGCGCAUGUAGGUGGUUAGAUAAGUUUGAUGUGAAAGCCCCGGGCUUAACCUGGGAAUGGCAUUGAAUACUGUCUAACUUGAGUCGGACAGAGGGCAGUGGAAUUUCCGGUGUAGCGGUGAAAUGCGUAGAGAUCGGAAAGAACAUCAGUGGCGAAGGCGUCUGCCUGGGUCCGGACUGACACUUAAGUGCGAAAGCGUGGGGAGCAAACAGG
rnacentral:rRNA from 1 species